rnacentral:lncRNA from 13 species
UCACUUCACCUGGCGCCUGUUUCGAUCGAAGCAAGCGAAAUUGGAGAAUAACUUGAUUACAAGGCUUCUACAAUAAAUUGGGAUUUAAAAAUAUAGAUUUUGAGAGCAUCUCUUCAGAAACAGGGGGACCUUUGAAUUUGGAUCGAAAUACUGUUAAAAUCUACUUGGACUGGAUUUGUAUUCAUUUUACUCAUAGGAACUUUGGAAUAAAGAAGUUUUGAAUUGCAGGUAUUCACAGACUUGUUAAUGUCAUCAAAACAUCUACAUUAGGCUAUAAAUCGGCUACGCGCUCUUGAAAUAAUAAGUACAACGAACUUAUUUUAAUCAAGCUUGUGGAAUUGUUGAUUGUCUCUCGAAAGCAUUGGAGCUUGGAACACGGAAGAUAUGCUUCAAUGGAACUGUUCACUUUUUCAAGAAAUCCCAGAUGGAGGUUUCCCGGUAUGAGGAGGGAAUAACCAGGAAGUCCGAAGUCCUCCGACCAGGAUCUCUGAGAAACAGAAUUUUUUGAAAGUUCCAGGAAUUUUUUAACCCUAAAAGUGAGUGUUAUUAUAGGCUGCUGGUGUUUUAAUCUUGUCCAUAUUGGAAUUCUAACACUGAGUGGUAGCACUCAGAAUCACACUUAAUUCCACAUGUUGCAACAGAAAAGAGAAGAUAAGGAUGUAGUAAGGUUUAUUUGAGCUUGUACACAUUCACAGCUGAAAGCUGAAUUACAGUACCCACUCAAAAGGAAAGAACAAAAAUAAGAUUUUAGGGGGAAACAAAGAGUUGAUAUAGAUACAUAUUGAAUUAGCAUAAAUGUCUGAUCGUGUGACAUAGUAUGUUAUGAUGCUCCAUGUCUGAAUACUGAUGUAAAUAAGGUAUUUCCAUUUUUUACUUGUAAAACUUUGGCAAUUAUUUUUUUUUAAACAGUUUUCGCUUUGUCAUUAUGGGGUAAUGUGUGUAGAUCGAUGAGGGGAAACCUUUAUUUAAUACAUUUUAGAAUGAGGCUGUAACGUAACAAAAUGUGGAAAAAGUCAAGGCGUCUGAAUACUUUCCAAAUGCACUGAUUUAAUAUAUAUGUAUGUGUGUGUGUGUGUGUGUGUGUGUGUGUGAGUGUGUGUGUGUGUGU